GGGGGGAGAGCUGGAUCCUGGGCUGGGUCCCCGGUGCCCAUGGGUUCCUGGGCCUGCUCGGCUGGAAUCCCACUCCCAGGGCUGUGCAGCUCCCU
rnacentral:pre_miRNA from 1 species